GAAGUGACAUAACAAGGAGACUCAUUUAAAGAAGGAGAAACAGGAAGGGCCCUCUUUUUUCCCCUCUGCUCCUGCUCCAGCAGCACGAUGUGAUCCACCAGCCAGGAGGGACACCAACAAGGCAUCUGGAGGAGCUUAUUCCACAACACAUGUUUUCUCUCCUUCAACCAUACAGAUCCCAGGAAUCAGCGUGGAAUCAGACUCAGUGGCAAGCACUUUUAUUUCCUGAGGCAUUAUGCUCUUCCCAGAC
rnacentral:lncRNA from 1 species